GCCUAGUUAGCUUGGUUGGUAGCGCGUCUGCCUUGUAAGCGCUAGGCCGCGGGUUCGAUUCCCGCUCGGGGCG
rfam:Asian citrus Psyllid, Diaphorina citri - Florida Strain, whole genome shotgun sequence.